rnacentral:rRNA from 1 species
ACCCCUUCCCAUCCCGAACAGGACCGUGAAACGACUCUACGCCGAUGAUAGUGCGGAUUGCCCGUGUGAAAGUAGGUAAUCGUCAGGC